AUGAACGCUAGCGGCAGGCCUAAUACAUGCAAGUCGAGGGAGAUUAUCGGAUUCGUCUGAUAUGAAACCGGCGCACGGGUGCGUAACGCGUAUGCAACCUACCUUUAACUGGGGUAUAGCUCAGAGAAAUCUGAAUUAAUCCCCCAUAACACUACGACAUGGCAUCAUGAUGUAGUUAAAGCUCCGGCGGUUAAGGAUGGGCAUGCGGUACAUUAGCUAGUUGGUGAGGUAACGGCUCACCAAGGCUACGAUGUAUAGGGGGUCUGAGAGGAUGAUCCCCCACACUGGUACUGAGACACGGACCAGACUCCUACGGGAGGCAGCAGUAGGGAAUUUUGGACAAUGGGCGCAAGCCUGAUCCAGCCAUGCCGCGUGUCUGAAGAAGGCCUUCGGGUUGUAAAGGACUUUUGUUGGGGAGCAAAUGCUGAUCGCUAAUACCGAUUGGAGCUGAGAG
rnacentral:rRNA from 1 species